AACAAAAAAAUCUCCUCAUCCCUUCGCGGCUGCCGCAAAGCGAAUGAGAUCCUGGAAAAAAAUAAACGCGGGGACGUUGAAAAUGGUGAUCAAAAGUGAACAGCUUUCGUAAGAAAAUGGGAUAUUCGUAUUCCUGGGAAAAAAACGAGGAAAUUUUUUGCUUACGAAAAUUUCUUUGGAAUAAUAGUUUUCGAGUAUGUGUCCCGGAUUCACCAAUCGUCUCGCAGCUCGCCGGACAGAAACCGCCUUUUUUAGUCACGUGACGGGCUACCGAUUGGCGGUAAACUUCAAAUCCCCGUAUCUCGAUAACCAUGAAUACCUAUUUCGAGGACCGUGCGAAUUGGUCUCAAAAUUUGGUGAAAACUCAAUUGGUUUUCUGUUUUUUUACACCCGCUCGUCGAGAAAACUACGCUGUGGAUGUUUUUGCUCACCGGAAGCCGCGAUCGGCAUACAAAGUGUUCCUCCUCGAACGGACUUUGGAUGCAUGCAGAAAAUGCCCAUGCGUGUGUACGUUUGGUUUACUGGACACCUAUUAGCUGGGUAUUGAUCGUGAUUCGCAGAG